rnacentral:rRNA from 1 species
UAAUGACUCUCGGCAACGGAUAUCUCGGCUCUCGCAUCGAUGAAGAACGCAGCAAAAUGCGAUACUUGGUGUGAAUUGCAGAAUCCCGUGAAUCAUCGAGUUUUUGAACGCAAGUUGCGCCCGAAGCCUUUCGGCCGAGGGCACGUCUGCCUGGGCGUCACGC